rnacentral:rRNA from 1 species
UACGUAGGGGGCAAGCGUUGUCCGGAAUCAUUGGGCGUAAAGAGCGUGUAGGCGGCCCGGUAAGUCCGCUGUGAAAGUCGGGGGCUCAACCCUCGGAUGCCGGUGGAUACUGUCGGGCUCGAGUACGGAAGAGGCGAGUGGAAUUCCUGGUGUAGCGGUGAAAUGCGCAGAUAUCAGGAGGAACACCGAUGGCGAAGGCAGCUCGCUGGGACGGUACUGACGCUGAGGCGCGAAAGCGUGGGGAGCAAACAGG